ensembl:snRNA U6 U6 spliceosomal RNA
GUGCUCGCUUUGGCGGCACUUAUACUAAAAUUGGGAUGAUACAGAGAAGGUUAGCAUGGCCCCUGCGCAAGGAUGACAGACAAAAUUCGUGAAGUGUUCCAUAUUUUU